AUUGAACGCUGGCGGCAGGCCUAACACAUGCAAGUCGAGCGAGAGGCGGAGGGGUGAGUAAUGUGUGUGGACUGUCCGUUAGAGGGGGAUAACUACUGGAAACGGUAGCUAAUACCGCAUACUAUCGAAUAGCCCAUAUGGGAUUGGCUAGUAGGUGAGGUAAUGGCUCACCUAGGCGACGAUCCCUAGCUGGUCUGCGAGGAUGAUCAGCCACACGGGGAUUGAGACACGGCCCAGACUCCUACGGAGGCAGCAGUGGGGAAUAUUGCACAAUGGGCGCAAGCCUGAUGCAGCCAUGCCGCGUGUAUGAAGAAGGCCUUAGGGUUGUAAAGUACUUUCAGCCGGGAGGCGUUACCGACAGAAGAAGCACCGGCUAACUCCGUGCCAGCAGCCGCGGUAAUUC
rnacentral:rRNA from 1 species